rnacentral:rRNA from 1 species
GACGAACGCUGGCGGCGUGCUUAACACAUGCAAGUCGAACGGUAAGGCCCUUCGGGGUACACGAGUGGCGAACGGGUGAGUAACACGUGGGUGAUCUGCCCUGCACUUCGGGAUAAGCCUGGGAAACUGGGUCUAAUACCGGAUAGGACUACUGGCUUCAUGGUUGGGGGUGGAAAGCUUUUGCGGUGCGGAAUGGGCCCGCGGUCUAUCAGCUUGUUGGUGGGGUAAUGGCCUACCAAGGGGACGACGGGUAGCCGGCCUGAGAGGGUGACCGGUCACACUGGGACUGAGAUACGGCGCAGACUCCUACGGGAGGCAGCAGUGGGGAAUAUUGCACAAUGGGCGCAAGCCUGAUGCAGCGACGCCGCGUGAGGGAUGACGGCCUUCGGGUUGUAAACCUCUUUCAGCUAUGACGAAGCGCAAGUGACGGUAGUAGCAGAAGAAGGACCGGCCAACUACGUGCCAGCAGCCGCGGUAA